GGGAUGAUAAUGACAGUACCUGGUAAAGAAACCCCGGCUAACUCCGUGCCAGCAGCCGCGGUAAUACGGAGGGGGUUAGCGUUGUUCGGAAUUACUGGGCGUAAAGCGCACGUAGGCGGAUCGGAAAGUUGGGGGUGAAAUCCCGGGGCUCAACCCCGGAACUGCCUCCAAAACUAUCGGUCUAGAGUUCGAGAGAGGUGAGUGGAAUUCCGAGUGUAGAGGUGAAAUUCGUAGAUAUUCGGAGGAACACCAGUGGCGAAGGCGGCUCACUGGCUCGAUACUGACGCUGAGGUGCGAAAGUGUGGGGAGCAAACAGGAUUAGAUACCCUGGUAGUCCACACCGUAAACGAUGAAUGCCAGUCGUCGGGUAGCAUGCUAUUCGGUGACACACCUAACGGAUUAAGCAUUCCGCCUGGGGAGUACGGUCGCAAGAUUAAAACUC
rnacentral:rRNA from 1 species